CUGGUAGGUAAAUGCUGGCGAGUGUUGACAGGGCCCCAAACCGCAGCACGGACCCAACAGUGUGUAGCCUCAGAUGCGUUUCCAGGAAAUAUGAAAGAUGGAAAUAAAAUUCACUAAGUGUGCAACUCAAUACACUAGUAACAGAUAGCAAAGGAAACACGGAAAGUGUAGAAGGAAGAAAUAAGAAAUGAUGGAAACAGAGGUAAUGAAAUCGAAAAGACAGACAAGCUUUGAUCAAUAAAACGGGGUCUUUGUUCGGAGUUGUGGUGGGGAACCUGAAUAGGAUGGUCUCCGAAGAUGAGGUUGGAAAGUCACUUAGAUUCCACCUCUAAAGUAGGACCGCAGGCCUUUCGGAUUUGCGAGUACUUUCUGCCAGAUGGUGGACAAAGACGGAAGUUCCCUAAAUAAUGGUGCUCGUCCAGGGCCACCUUGACCCACCAGGACUCGGUCUGAGAAGGUAGCAGAUGGCAGGGGCCUGACUGACAAGAAGCGGCUUAACCACGUGUGUGGUUGUAUUGAGCACACUUUUCAUUUUCUGUGAUUUACGAUGUUCCGGCAUCUUACAAACUCUUUCUGGCUUGGGAGGCUGGCCCCCCUGGGCCAGCGGUUCUCAGGGCAGGCGCAGGUCCCAGUGGAGUCCUGCCUUUGAUGUGCCUGCCGGCCAGCCCAGAGCCAGCCUGUGUGGACCAAGGAGGCAGUGCCUGAACCUCAUCAGCCCAGGGCCAGGUACCAGGCAGCUGGGGACAGCCCAGAGUUUCGAACCUGCUGAGUUCGAAAGAGUUUCAAGGUAGCCAAUUUUGAGCUGAUUAGCCUGCCCUGUGAGUGCUAACCUGUGCCCUGUGGAAAUCCCAGAGAAGACUCCUGCCUGGGCUCCCCCCACCUGACCACCUGGUGCCUCCCCGUCUCUGGGCCCUAUUGGUACAAUCACCUUUGUUUCCCGAGCCUCUCCUGCAUCUCCUCUUGUGGCACACCGACUGGCAUCCCGUUGAAGAACACGACCAGUGGCUGGGGCAGUGACCCAGGGAUGUCAUGAGGGGACCUGCUUCAUGACCUCCUUCCUUGAACUUGCCCGGCUGCUCAUCUUGGAGCAUUUCACCCGCGUGAAAGCAGGGGGGCUUCUCCCUGUGACUCUUGGCCAGACUCGUCUCAAGGACCCACCUGUAGCCGCAGGACAGGCUGGGAAUCAAUGUUCCAGAGGAGAAACACGGGACAGAGGAGAGGGAAUGAGCAGCCCCAGGAACACUGCAUCUUCUGGGAAGGCCCAAAGCCAACGUAGCCAGAUGGUGUUCUUCUCUGCCCUUUGUCACGUCUGGACUGCUUGUGUGGGGUGACCAGCCGGCCCAGACACGUCCCCAGUGACGGUCAAGAAAUCGGGUUUCCAGUUCCUUGGGACCUGGGUGCUGCUCCCUACGGCUUCCCGUCCCUCCCCCAGAAGUGAGCACAGAUCGCAGACCACGGAGGACACGGGGAGAGCGUGCCGUCCACUCGCCCAGCAGAGGCCCCGCAGGGAGGCCUGCAUCUCGGGCUUCAGCCCCUGGGACGGUGAGGAGUAAACUCACGUUUCUAGAGCCGCCUGGUUUGUGGUAUUUUUUUCGCGGCCCCUGAAGACUCAGUCAGGGGCUGGGUGGGGGGCAGGGCAGGCCCGCCUCACCUCUGCCUUGCAGGGACCCUGGGGACAAGCCACCACCUCUCUGGUUUUCCUCCUUCGGCCCGACGACGGGACAAGUGCCCCGGGAAAGACCCGUAGCUGGUCUCUUCAAGAGCAGUGGGGUCCCGUCCAGUGGUCUGGAGGCCCCGUCACUGGCUGGCCCCUGCCCCUCUGUGGCCCGUGACUUCAUGGGACACGUACCGAGCCACACAGGCCAACAGAUCAGCAAAACUAUAGAAGAUUUGAACAGUAGCAUCUGUCAUCGUCACCUCAUUGGUAUCCUCAGAGCUGCGAACGUGGAAACGGACACUCAGAAGGGCAUGUGGCACCUUCCAGAACAUGGACUCCCUACCUGAACGUAAAAACAAGCUCAAUAAAAUUCAAAAGUUUACAAUCAUACUUAGUGCACUCCUUUCCUCUGAUGAAAUUAUACCAGAAACCAGUAAGAGAUCUAGAAACCCCCCAAGAUAUUUGGACAUUAAACAAAACUCUUUUAAAGAAUCCAUGGGUCAGAGAAAAAAAAUCCCUGGGUAAUUCUUAGGAAAUGUCUCAUCCUAACAAAAACACAUUGGCGUUUGUGCGGCACCCCAGAACAGCGUUGAGUGAGCAUUCGUAGCCUUGAGCGCUUACAUCAGAAAGGAAGCACAAUUUGAAAUUAUUGAUAUGUUCUGGGGUGCCUGGGUGGCUCAGUCGGUUGAACGUCUGACUUCGGCUCAGGUCAUGAUCUCAUGGUCCAUGAGUUUGAGCCCUGUGUCGGGCUCUGUGCUGACAGCUCAGAGCCUGGAGCCUGGAGCCUGCGUCAGAUUCUGUGUCUCCCUCUCUCUCUCUGCACCUCCCCUGCUCAUGCUCUUUCAAUAAUAAAUAAAUGUUAACAAAUUAUCGAUAUGUUCCAUCUGAAGAUGCUAGGGAAAAAGGCAAAUUAAACCCAAAAAUAAGGUGAAGGAAGGAAAUACUAAAGACAAGAAUGGGAAUCAGGGUAACAGAAAGCACAUGGCUGGUAGAUGAAUCCGGAGAACCAAGACCUAGCCAUCAGAAGAAAUCAGUAAAAUUUGCAAAAUCCUAGCGAGGCCGAUAGAGAAGGAAAGAAGGAAUCUACAAAUUAUUGGUGUCAAGGAGAGAGGGGCCAUCACAGUAAAUCCUAUAGACGUUAGAAGGGUAAUAAAGAAAUAUUAGGAGCAAAUUUAUGCCAGUAAGUUUGACAACUUAGAUCCAAGAACAAAUUCUUUGAAACACUAGGCACAAGAAGUAACAGUAGAUCUGAAUAGGUCUGUAGCUGCUCAAGAAAUUGAAUAUAUUUUUUUAAGUUUGUUUGUUUGUUUAUGUAAGUAAUCUCUACACCCAACGUGGGGUUUGAACUCAUGUCCCUGAGAUUGAGAGUCACAUUCUUCUCUGGCGAGGCCAGCCAGGCACCCCGAAACUGAAUUAUUUUUUUACUUGAUGUUUAUGCAUUUAUUUAUUUUGAGAGAGAGAG